GGCCAGACUCCUACGGGAGGCAGCAGUGGGGGAUAUUGCACAAUGGGGGAAACCCUGAUGCAGCGACGCCGCGUGAGUGAAGAAGUAUUUCGGUAUGUAAAGCUCUAUCAGCAGGGAAGAAAGAAAUGACGGUACCUGAGUAAGAAGCCCCGGCUAACUACGUGCCAGCAGCCGCGGUAAUACGUAGGGGGCAAGCGUUAUCCGGAAUUACUGGGUGUAAAGGGGGCGCAGACGGCAGCGCAAGCCAGGAGUGAAAGCCCGGGGCCCAACCCCGGGACUGCUCUUGGAACUGCGCGGCUGGAGUGCAGGAGGGGCAGGCGGAAUUCCUGGUGUAGCGGUGAAAUGCGUAGAUAUUAGGAGGAACACCAGUGGCGAAGGCGGCUUGCUGGACUGUAAAUGACGCUGAGGCGCGAAAGCGUGGGUAGCGAACGGGAUUAGAUACCCCUGUA
rnacentral:rRNA from 1 species